AGACAGGAAAAAAGUCAAUUUUUUUUUUGUUUUUCUUUUUGGAUGGUGUUGUUGCGGCAACUUAAGGACUUCACACUUAAUUGCUUUUUCACGCCUCUCGCCACCCGGAAGGAAUAUCUAAUACUCCUGACGUUCCGCCAUUGACGUGCGCCCACUGACAGCAGCUGUCAGCUCAGUUUGUAUUCACGGCGAAGACAGCACCAUCCAACCACCCAUCCGCCCAACCACCCACUCCAGCAUUUUCCUCCGCGUCACAGCCAUGGCCUGCAAAUUGCUCAUUUCAAGGCUAAUUUGUUAGCAUAUGUAGACACUGGAGAAGAUAAAAGACAAUACACAGGAAAAUACUUACCACCGAUUGAGCCAUUUCUUUAUUACUGCGAAGAAUGCAAAUUCCUGUUAAAUAUUGUAAACACAAAUGGAUCGAUUUCCUUGUACAAUUUAAACACCAAAAUUCAAAAAUUACAUAACUCUCUGAUCAUGAAUGCCUAGUUUCUUUCCGU
ensembl:ncRNA lncRNA:CR44387 long non-coding RNA:CR44387